CCUACGGGAGGCAGCAGUGAGGAAUUUUCCGCAAUGGGCGAAAGCCUGACGGAGCAAUACCGCGUGAGGGAUGAAGGAUUUUGGUCUGUAAACCUCUUUUCUCAAGAAAGAAGUUCUGACGGUACUUGAGGAAUAAGCAUCGGCUAACUCCGUGCCAGCAGCCGCGGUAAUACGGGGGAUGCAAGCGUUAUCCGGAAUGAUUGGGCGUAAAGCGCCUGUAGGUUGUUUAUUAAGUCCGUUGUUAAAGCCUAGGGCUUAACCCUAGAAAAGCAAUGGAAACUAGUAGACUAGAGUAUGGCAGGGGUAGAGGGAAUUUCUAGUGUAGCGGUGAAAUGCGUAGAUAUUAGAAAGAACACCGGUGGCGAAAGCGCUCUACUGGACCAUUACUGACACUCAGAGGCGAAAGCUAGGGUAGCAAAAGGGAUUAGAUACCCCUGUAGUCCUAGCCGUAAACGAUGGAUACUAGAUGUUGUGCAUUAUGUACAGUAUCGUAGCUAACGCGUUAAGUAUCCCGCCUGGGGAGUACGCUCGCAAGGGUGAAACUCAAAGAUAGUACGCGCGAGAGAGCGACGACGACGACGACGGAGGAGAG
rnacentral:rRNA from 1 species